rnacentral:rRNA from 1 species
CAGAGGGUGCAAGCGUUGCUCGGAAUUAUUGGGCGUAAAGGGCAGGUAGGUGGUCUCGUUUGUCUAGGGUGAAAUCCCUGAGCUUAACUUAGGAAGUGCCCUGGAAACGGCGAGACUGGAGUACUGGAGAGGUUCGUGGAAUUCCCGGUGUAGCGGUGAAAUGCGUAGAGAUCGGGAGGAACACCAGAGGCGAAGGCGGCGAACUGGACAGUUACUGACACUCAACUGCGAAAGCGUGGGGAGCAAACAGGAUUAGAUACCCUGGUAGUCCACGCUGUAAACGAUGGGUACUAGAUUUGGUGGGAUUUGACCCCUGCUGAGUCGGCGCUAACGCAAUAAGUACCCCGCCUGGGAAGUACGGUCGCAAGAUUA